rnacentral:misc_RNA from 1 species
AAGUCGUAACAAGGUUUCCGUAGGUGAACCUGCGGAAGGAUCAUUAUUAUUUGGUUUGGGUUUACUUUUCAAAAAUUGGUCCUUUAAAUUUUUCAAAAAGUAAAUCUGCACCAAAUAACAAUUUUAACUACAGAUCAGAACAAGAUCAGAACGAAAUUGUUAUUUUUUCUCGCCCUUUUAUAGGGAGGAGCAAGAUGAAUUUAUUUAAAACCAUCCACUCUUAAAAAUAAAUAUAUCAUAUAUAUAAAAUAAAAAGAUCACUUUCAACAACGGAUCUCUUGGUUCUC